CCUACGGGAGGCAGCAGUAGGGAAUAUUGGACAAUGGGCGCAAGCCUGAUCCAGCCAUGCCGCGUGAGUGAAGAAGGCCCUCGGGUUGUAAAGCUCUUUUGUCCGGAAAGAAAAGCAUUCGGUUAAUACCCGAGUGUCUGACGU
rnacentral:rRNA from 1 species